CAUGAGAGGCAGCAUGUGCCUGCGGUAUCUUGUGCUCUUCUCGUCUUUAUGCGAGAGGCAGUACAUACCUAUGGCAUCUUGUGCCUAUGACAUCUUAUGCCCUCUUCGAUGGUAUUCUGAGGGUCUGGUUAGUUAGCCCUCACAAAAGAUAUCGUGUGCCUGCGACAUGUUGUGCCUAUGACAUUUUAUGCUCUUCUCGUCUUCACGCAAGAGGCAGCA
rnacentral:lncRNA from 1 species